rnacentral:tRNA from 1 species
GCAGGUAUAGCUCAGUGGCAGAGUGCAUGGUGAGUAUGCAUGAGGUCCUGGGUUCAAUCCCCAGUGACUUCA